GACGAACGCUGGCGGCGUGCUUAACACAUGCAAGUCGAACGGAAAGGCCCUGCUUUUGUGGGGUGCUCGAGUGGCGAACGGGUGAGUAACACGUGAGUAACCUGCCCUUGACUUUGGGAUAACUUCAGGAAACUGGGGCUAAUACCGGAUAGGAGCUCCUGCUGCAUGGUGGGGGUUGGAAAGUUUCGGCGGUUGGGGAUGGACUCGCGGCUUAUCAGCUUGUUGGUGGGGUAGUGGCUUACCAAGGCUUUGACGGGUAGCCGGCCUGAGGGGGUGACCGGCCACAUUGGGACUGAGAUACGGCCCAGACUCCUACGGGAGGCAGCAGUGGGGAAUAUUGCACAAUGGGCGGAAGCCUGAUGCAGCAACGCCACGUGCGGGAUGACGGCCUUCGGGUUGUAAACCGCUUUCGCCUGUGACGAAGCGUGAGUGACGGUAAUGGGUAAAGAAGCACCGGCUAACUACGUG
rnacentral:rRNA from 1 species